CGUAGGGGGCGAGCGUUGUCCGGAAUUACUGGGCGUAAAGCGCGCGUAGGUGGUCCGCCAAGUUCGGCGUGAAAUCUCCAGGCUCAACUUGGAGGGGUCGUCGAAGACUGACGGACUAGGGUCUGGCAGAGGCAGGUAGAAUUCCCGGUGGAGCGGUGAAAUGCGUAGAGAUCGGGAGGAAUACCAGUGGCGAAGGCGGCCUGCUGGGCCACGACCGACACUGAGGUGCGAAAGCGUGGGGAGCGAACCGGAUUAGAUACCCGGGUAGUCCACGCCCUAAACGAUGGGUACUAGGCGUGGGGGGUAUCGACCCCCUCUGUGCCGCAGCUAACGCGAGAAGUACCCCGCCUGGGGAGUACGGCCGCAAGGUUG
rnacentral:rRNA from 1 species